CCCUUAGAUGUUCUGGGCCGCACGCGUGCUACACUGAGUGGAUCAGCGGGUCAGGUUGCGCGAAAGCGUUUCCUAAUCUUUAAAUCCGCUCGUGAUGGGGAUUGACGGUUGCAAUUUUCUGUCAUGAACGAGGAAUACCUUGUAAGCGCGGGUCAUCAUCCCGCGCUGAAUACGUCCCUGUCCUUUGUACACACCGCCCGUCGCUCCUACCGAUUGAGUGGUCCGGUGAGGCUUUGGGAUCUGAGCGGAAAGAGCGUUUCGCUGUUUCUGCCCGGAAAACUCAGUCGAACCUUAUCAUUUAGAGGAAGGAGAAGUCGUAACA
rnacentral:rRNA from 1 species